ACAUGUUUUCCUCAUAAACCACAAAAGUAAACAAGUUUGUUACUUCUUCUUAGUCCCCUACAUCCCUCUUAUACCACUUCUUCACCCCAUUUCCACAAUGGAAACCACCGUCAGCUGGUACAACUCCGGUAGCCUGAGCCGCUGUUGGAGCCGAAGACCCACCGACUACGACGAGCUCGUAACAAUGACCGUUUCGACUUCCAAAGCACGUAUUAUUUGGAGAAUUUUGUUAAGAAAAAUUAAGAGAGCAAAGAAAAAUAUUUACAGAUUUUCAGAUUCGACGCGAUUUCGCUAUGAGGCUGGUGAGUAUGCACAAAACUUUGAUCACGGGUUAAUGUCGCACGAUUCGGAUGAUUUAUCGAGGUCGUUUUCGGCCCGUUUUGCUGCUCCUAAUUCUGCAAUGUUUCACCGCAAGAGAUGAUUGAUUUAAAGAUUGGAAGGCAAGUGAGUGAACAUGUGUGAAGGCAUGUGACAUGUUUCGUGCGCUCAUGGUGUGUACUAGAUCAGUUUUCUUGUAAAAAUAUUAUAAUAAAAUAGGUAGAAUAAAAAAUUUGAAAUAAUAAAUAAUAUUCCUUUAA